UUCGUGUACAAGUCAUAGUUGAAGCUGCCAGCAUGAUCUCAACCUCUCUCAGAUUUCUGAGGGAAGCUCAGAUCAUGUGGUAGUUUCACCUGUUGUUUGUAGCAUGAA
rnacentral:pre_miRNA from 1 species